GGGUGUUACACAUUGUAACAAUAAUUUUUGAGGCACUAAAUAGACUUUGAAUGCUUCACACUCUUUAUUGAUAAGAACUUUUCACACUCCAAGGUUUAUUCUACUUUGAAUUCUUCACACUCUUUAUUGAUAAGAACUUUUCACACUCCAAGGUUAUUCUACUUUGAAUUCUUCACACUCUUCAUUGAUGAGAACUUUUCACACUCCACGGAACUUUUCACACUCGACGGUUUAUUCUAAUAAUAUUUUUUUGACAAGUCUCCAAAUUUCCUAUGACUAUGGUUCAGGAUUCUAGGAGCAGAUAGAGCCAAAUUCCAACUCGAGGGCAGAGACACCUACAUCCAGAUGUUGGGAAGGAAGUAUUGGAAUGGUGGCAACAAUAAUGAAGCGUCCCUUUGGAGGUAAUUUGAUACCUCAGUCUAUGAUAAGAGUUGGUGAGGCGCGGAGGCUUCGGCCUGCCGUUGUUCUCUACAAGAAUGGAGAGCAGAGUAUGAUUCUCAAUAAUGAAAUUGUGAUAAUCUUUCAGGAUCCAUGUUGAUCUGUAAUGUUUGUAGUGGAAAACAACGAUCAAAAUUAAUUUUUGAUUUCUACUUGAGUGUUAAAAAAAUUUGAAAUAUGCAUUUUUUGAAUUUAGUGUGUCCUCGUUUAAUGUGAUGGAAAUAAAUCUGUGAAACUAAGAGAAUGGAGUCUAAACUGUAUCUAACCGUGGCAGUCUGUGCUUUAAGUAUUCUCUCCGUACCUGCAAUGCGAAUAGCUCUACCAGGUCGACCUAUGCUGAUAUGUAACUUAUUUGGAUGUGAUUGUUCUCCAAGACCAGGAGAAAUGUGCUGCGAUGGCUACAAGUUCGAUGUUUUCUCUAAAGAAUGCCGGAUGGUUGAUAAUUCUGCAUCAUAACUUUCUCAAUAGCAGAUUAAUAAAGAUAAAUGUCUGAAUAAAAAAAUUAGUUUAGGUUGCACGGUGCACGUGUAUUCUUUAAAGUUGUUGACAAUUAAAAUCUAAAACCAAUAGAAUUUUUUCAACAUUUUAAACGAAUCAAUCCGAGAAAAUUGGAAAAAAUGCUGCUAUAUAUGUAGUAAAGCUCUGUAUAUAAAUAUAGUGCUGUAAAUCUUUGAAAUAUUUUUAUUGUGUAGUGGGAAAAAUAACUUCGAGUGGAAUUUACUAAAAUAGAAUCAUACAUCAAAAUAAAACUUUCGCUACCACAAGAAAAAAAAUACUUUCCAAGAAAGCAAAGUAGAUAGACAUUUUUGCAUGCAUGUUAUGGUGCAUAUCAAUUUAAAAAAUCUGUUUUUCGAAAAAUUAGCUUAGUGAAAAUGACGAUGUGCCUGUAAUUAAAUAAAUUAAGUAAACAGUAUAUUUUUCUUCAAGAAAGCUUAUUAAAAAGUUUUUUGUUCGUU